GGGCAUGCUUACCAUGCAGAUUGAACGCAGAAUAGGGCUCGGCUCUAUUGCUGAGUAGCAAACGGGUGAGUAACGCGUGGGAAUCUGCCUUCUUGUGGGGGAUAACUAAGGGAAACUUUAGCUAAUACCGCAUACGCUCUACGGAGGAAAGGCUUCGGCCGCAAGAAGAGGAGCCCGCGUCAGAUUAGGUAGUUGGUGGGGUAAAAGCCUACCAAGCCAAUGAUCUGUAGCUGGUCUGAGAGGAUGAUCAGCCACACUGGGACUGAGACACGGCCCAGACUCCUACGGGAGGCAGCAGUGGGGAAUAUUGGACAAUGGGGGAAACCCUGAUCCAGCAAUGCCGCGUGAAUGAAGAAAGCCUUAGGGUUGUACAGAUCUUUCACCUGUGACGAUAAUGACGGAAGCAGGAGAAGAAGACCCAGGCUAACAUUCGAAGCCAGCA
rnacentral:rRNA from 1 species